rnacentral:rRNA from 1 species
GACGAACGCUGGCGGCGUGCUUAACACAUGCAAGUCGAACGGAAAGGCCCUGCUUUUGUGGGGUGCUCGAGUGGCGAACGGGUGAGUAACACGUGAGUAACCUGCCCUUGACUUUGGGAUAACUUCAGGAAACUGGGGCUAAUACCGGAUAGGAGCUCCUGCUGCAUGGUGGGGGUUGGAAAGUUUCGGCGGUUGGGGAUGGACUCGCGGCUUAUCAGCUUGUUGGUGGGGUAGUGGCUUACCAAGGCUUUGACGGGUAGCCGGCCUGAGAGGGUGACCGGCCACAUGGGGACUGAGAUACGGCCCAGACUCCUACGGGAGGCAGCAGUGGGGAAUAUUGCACAAUGGGCGGAAGCCUGAUGCAGCAACGCCGCGUGCGGGAUGACGGCCUUCGGGUUGUAAACCGCUUUCGCCUGUGACGAAGCGUGAGUGACGGUAAUGGGUAAAGAAGCACCGGCUAACUACGU